rnacentral:other from 1 species
GUUUCAUUACCCGUAUUAUUACGAGUUAAUUGCGAG